rnacentral:rRNA from 1 species
AUUGAACGCUGGCGGCAGGCUUAACACAUGCAAGUCGAGCGAGCGGCGGACGGGUGAGUAAUGUCUGGGAAACUGCCUGCUGGAGGGGGAUAACUACUGGAAACGGUAGCUAAUACCGCAUACCAUCAGAUGUUCCCAGCUGGGAUUAGCUAGUAGGUGGGGUAAUGGCUCCCCUAGGCGACGAUCCCUAGCUGGUCUGAGAGGAUGACCAGCUACACUGCAACUGAGACACGGUGCAGACGCCUACGGGAGGCAGCAGUGGGGAAUAGUGCACAAUGGGAGAAAGGGUGAUGCAGCCAUGCCGCGUGUUGGAAGAAGGCAUUAGGGUUGUAAAGCACUUUAAGUGAGGAGGCGGUACUCGCAGAAGAAGCACCGGCUAACUCCGUGCCAGCCGCCGCGGUAAUUC